rnacentral:misc_RNA from 1 species
UUUUUUUUUAAGCGCUUACACAAGUUUGGAGGUAGAAUAGAAUAUUUGAGUCAUAGUAUUUAUUGAUUCUGAGUUCUGCUGUUUUUACUUUCGCAUUUUUAUUCAUGGAUUUCAAGAUUUGUCAUAGACGUCAAAAUUUUCCAUCAUGUAAAAUUGGCUACCCCAAAUUUGGAAAGGAAUAAUUCCAGAGGAAAGUCCUCUUCUCUCUAAACUUGUGUAAGCGCUUAAAAAAAAAUG